rnacentral:tRNA from 1 species
GGGCCUGUAGCUCAGUGGUAGAGCAUCGGCCUUUUAAGCCGUUGGCCGCGGGUUCGAGCCCCGCCGGGCCCACCA